ACCUGGAUGGCUCAGCAGGUAGAGCAUGGGACUCUUGAUCUCAGGGCUGUGAGCUCAAGCCCCACGUUGGGCA
rnacentral:tRNA from 1 species